rnacentral:rRNA from 1 species
UGAGGAAUAUUGGUCAAUGGACGAGAGUCUGAACCAGCCAAGUCGCGUGAAGGAAGACGGAUCUAUGGUUUGUAAACUUCUUUAGUGCGAGAACAAAGCGGCGUCGUGACGCCGGAUGAGUGUACCGCAAGAAUAAGCAUCGGCUAACUCCGUGCCAGCAGCCGCGGUAAUACGGAGGGUGCAAGCGUUAAUCGGAAUAACUGGGCGUAAAGGGCAUGCAGGCGGUUCAUCAAGUAGGAUGUGAAAUCCCCGGGCUCAACCUGGGAACAGCAUACUAAACUGGUGGACUAGAGUAUUGCAGGGGGAGACGGAAUUCCAGGUGUAGCGGUGGAAUGCGUAGAUAUCUGGAAGAACACCAAAGGCGAAGGCAGUCUCCUGGGCAAAUACUGACGCUCAUAUGCGAAAGCGUGGGUAGCAAACAGGAUUAGAUACCCUGGUAGU